AUUGAACGCUGGCGGCAGGCCUAACACAUGCAAGUCGAACGGUAACAGAAAGCAGCUUGCUGCUUUGCUGACGAGUGGCGGACGGGUGAGUAAUGUCUGGGAAACUGCCUGAUGGAGGGGGAUAACUACUGGAAACGGUAGCUAAUACCGCAUAACGUCGCAAGACCAAAGAGGGGGACCUUCGGGCCUCUUGCCAUCGGAUGUGCCCAGAUGGGAUUAGCUAGUAGGUGGGGUAACGGCUCACCUAGGCGACGAUCCCUAGCUGGUCUGAGAGGAUGGCCAGCCACACUGGAACUGAGACACGGUCCAGACUCCUACGGGAGGCAGCAGUGGGGAAUAUUGCACAAUGGGCGCAAGCCUGAUGCAGCCAUGCCGCGUGUAUGAAGAAGGCCUUCGGGUUGUAAAGUACUUUCAGCGGGGAGGAAGGGAGUAAAGUUAAUACCUUUGCUCAUUGACGCUACCCGCAGAAGAAGCACCGGCUAACUCCGUG
rnacentral:rRNA from 1 species